rnacentral:tRNA from 1 species
GCAUUGGUGGUUCAGUGGUAGAAUUCUAGCUUGCCAUGUUGGAGGCCGGGGUUUCGAUUCCCAGCCAAUGCA